ensembl:lncRNA
AAGACAAUGUGAAGAUGAUUGUGUUUUGGAUUGCACUGAAUCUUCUUCAUCGAGGAUAUGCACUGGUUUCACAAAUUACUGUUCAAGCUGGAGAACCUGCAACCUUCAUCUGUAGUCUACCUCACACAGAGGUCCUCCCUCGACAAGUCCACUGGUAUAAACAGAGUGCCGGGGAUACACUGAAAGUAAUUGUGACAGUGCGGAAAUCUAAACCACCUGAGUAUGCACAAGAUUUUCCUAAAUCCAGAUGGGAGAUAAAAAGCAACAGCAGUUUUAGUAACCUGACCAUUUUGAGGACAAUUCAAGAAGAUGAGGGAAUGUAUCACUGUGGCGUCUCCGAGUGGCUUGCAGACAUUAUAUGGACUGGGAUGCAUUUAUUAAUAAAAGGAAAAAAUCAGAGCAUUUCCAACUCUUCUGUUGCUCAGAGUUCGACAGUAUCAUCUGGAACUAAGCCAGACAUCCAUGGAAGCAGCAUAUGGUCACACAGAUCCGGGGCAGUUAUUUUUAUGCUGUGUGCUGUCUUGGCUAUAAGCCUGAUUGUUAUAGCUAUCCUUAUUGCUGCAAUGAAGAAAGAUGACACGCAAUAUUGCAAAGGUGUUGUUCCCCUGCGAAAAAACACUGGUAUCCAGAAAACUCAACAGAAAGCAGAGGAUGUGUGGUUUUACUCUGCUGCAGUCUUUGCCAUGAUGGGAACUGACAGAGGUGGGACAACAGAUGCAGCUGAGAGGGAGAGACUCCACACUGCUGUCAAGGCCUUUGGGCUGGAUUAAUGAGCCUUUUGGAUCCACUGAAUAAUUUAGGUGUUUCUUUUAUGUCACAGUAGAGUACACCUAAUAUUAGGUAUAUUAGAUACCAUUGUAAGCUUAAAAAUGUUGUACUUUCACAAAAGCAAAAGGCUGAGUUAUACAAUACUAUGUAAAGAAAACUACUGUUGUCAAACGUAAAGACCUAAGUGGGGAUGCACUUGUAGUGAAGUGGAGGAACACA